rnacentral:rRNA from 1 species
GACGAACGCUGGCGGCGUGCUUAACACAUGCAAGUCGAGCGGUAAGGCCCUUUCGGGGGUACACGAGCGGCGAACGGGUGAGUAACACGUGGGUGACCUGCCUUCAGCUCUGGGAUAAGCCUGGGAAACCGGGUCUAAUACUGGAUAUGACUCCAUGACGCAUGUUGUGGGGUGGAAAGCCUUGUGCGGCUGAGGAUGGGCCCGCGGCCUAUCAGCUUGUUGGUGGGGUGAUGGCCUACCAAGGCGACGACGGGUAGCCGGCCUGAGAGGGCGACCGGCCACACUGGGACUGAGACACGGCCCAGACUCCUACGGGAGGCAGCAGUGGGGAAUCUUGCGCAAUGGGCGAAAGCCUGACGCAGCGACGCCGCGUGAGGGAUGACGGCCUCGGUGUAAC